rnacentral:rRNA from 1 species
CCUCAUAAAGUAUGUCGUAGUCCGGAUUGGAGUCUGCAACUCGACUCCAUGAAGUCGGAAUCGCUAGUAAUCGUAGAUCAGAAUGCUACGGUGAAUACGUUCCCGGGCCUUGUACACACCGCCCGUCACACCAUGGGAGUGGGUUGCAAAAGAAGUAGGUAGCUUAACCUUCGGGAGGGCGCUUACCACUUUGUGAUUCAUGACU